rnacentral:rRNA from 1 species
UGGGGAAUAUUGGACAAUGGGGGCAACCCUGAUCCAGCCAUGCCGCGUGCGGGAAGAAGGCCUUCGGGUUGUAAACCGCUUCUAGCCGGGAAGAAAAGGCGAUUCCUAACAGGGGUCGUUCUUGACGGUACCGGCGGAAUAAGCACCGGCUAACUCCGUGCCAGCAGCCGCGGUAAUACGUAGGGUGCGAGCGUUAAUCGGAAUUACUGGGCGUAAAGCGUGCGCAGGCGGUUCGUUAAGUUCGUUGUGAAAGCCCCGGGCUCAACCUGGGAAUGGCAAUGGAAACUGGCGGGCUUGAAUGCGGCAGAGGGGGGUGGAAUUCCGCGUGUAGCAGUGAAAUGCGUAGAGAUGCGGAGGAACACCGAUGGCGAAGGCAGCCCCCUGGGAUGAUACUGACGCUCAUGCACGAAAGCGUGGGGAGCAAAC